rnacentral:lncRNA from 1 species
AAUCAUACUCCAUUCAGUGUCCUGUGUCAGAAAUUUGGUGAAGUGAAGGUGAGGUGAAGUAACUGAAUUCACUAGCAUAAUCUGAAUCAAACAAAGCAUAGUUUGAAUUCACUAGCAUAACCUGUUGUAGAAACUAGAAUGAGCCUUCUUUUUUUACCCGCCCCCGACCCCGACGCCUCUGGUACUCCGCCUCUGUUCCUGCAAAAUCUUGAUCACAUUAGAGUAAAUUGUUCAUUUGUUCCUGCGAAAGCUUGAAUGUAAUCAAAAUUAACAGGUUAUACAAAGAGUUUAAUUGAUACAGAGAGUUUAAUUGGAUUACAAUCGAAAUUCAUUGUCAGGGUCAAAAUUCAAAGUAUUCCAUGCUUGUCCAAUGAAUUAAAAACAUGUCCCUAAAAUUGGAAUAUUUGAAUUAGCUAGGUUUAUUCUUCUUCUUCUUCAUAAACAGAAAAAGAUGAAUAUUGCUGGUCUACUUCAUAAACAGAAUAUUCUUCAGUAAACACUUGUAAAUCUAGAGUGGUUAUAAACUUAUUUUCUGGAAUCAUCAAUGUGCAUUGCUGGUACUAAAAAUGCACAUUGCUCAUAUGUUCAGAGAUAUAGACAGAGCUAACCAAAUGUUCAGAAGAUCCUUACUGUAACCAAAUCAUAUGCUAGCUACUGUCUAUUGCUUUGCCUAUGUUCCUUUACUUUUGAGAAUGAGCUAGCUUCUGAAGAAAUAAAAUGGAUACUGUAUUAGUCAAAAAUAAAUGGCUCACUUGUUCCUGGCAGAAAAUCAGGACUAAAUGUUGUCAU